UACGAAGGGGGCUAGCGUUGUUCGGAAUUACUGGGCGUAAAGCGCGCGUAGGCGGUUUUGCAAGCCAGAGGUGAAAUGCCUGAGCUCAACUCAGGAAUGGCCUUUGGGACUGCGAGGCUUUGAGGACUGGAGAGGUGAGUGGAAUUCCCAGUGUAGAGGUGAAAUUCGUAGAUAUUGGGAAGAACACCAGUGGCGAAGGCGGUUAACUGGUCAGGUACUGACGCUGCGGUGCGAAAGCGUGGGGAGCAAACAGG
rnacentral:rRNA from 1 species